rnacentral:rRNA from 1 species
GUCCUUUUGAGUUUAAUUUAAGGUCUAACCUGCCCAAUGAAAAAUUUAAAUGGCCGCAGUAUUUUGACUGUGCAAAGGUAGCAUAAUCAUUAGUUUUUUAAUUGAAAGCUUGUAUGAAGGGUUGGACGAGAUAAAAACUGUCUUAAAUUAAUUUAUUUUAGAAUUUAAUUUUUAAGUUAAAAAGCUUAAAUAAUAUUAAAAGACGAGAAGACCCUAUAGAUCUUUAUAAUUUUUAUUUUAAUUAAAUUUUAGAAUUAAUUAUUAUUUAAUUUAAAAAUUAUUAUAUUGGGGUAAUAUAAAGAUUAAAGUAAUUCUUUAUUUAUUAAUACAUUAAUUUAUGAUUAUUUGAUCCAAUAUUAUUGAUUAUAAGAUUAAGUUACCUUAGGGAUAACAGCGUAAUUUUUUUAGAGAGUUCAUAUCGAUAAAAAAGUUUGCGACCUCGAUGUUGGAUUAAAAAUUAUCCUAGGUGCAGAAGUUUAGGAUUUUGGUCUGUUCGACCAUUAAAUUUUUACA